rnacentral:rRNA from 1 species
AUUGAACGCUGGCGGCAUGCCUUACACAUGCAAGUCGAACGGUAACAGGUCUUCGGAUGCUGACGAGUGGCGAACGGGUGAGUAAUACAUCGGAACGUGCCUAGUAGUGGGGGAUAACUACUCGAAAGAGUGGCUAAUACCGCAUGAGAUCUACGGAUGAAAGCAGGGGAUCGCAAGACCUUGUGCUACUAGAGCGGCCGAUGGCAGAUUAGGUAGUUGGUGGGAUAAAAGCUUACCAAGCCGACGAUCUGUAGCUGGUCUGAGAGGACGAUCAGCCACACUGGGACUGAGACACGGCCCAGACUCCUACGGGAGGCAGCAGUGGGGAAUUUUGGACAAUAGGCGCAAGCCUGAUCCAGCAAUGCCGCGUGCAGGAUGAAGGCCUUCGGGUUGUAAACUGCUUUUGUACGGAACGAAAAGCCCUGGGUUAAUACCCUGGGGUCAUGACGGUACCGUAAGAAUAAGCACCGGCUAACUACGUGCCAGCAGCCGCCGUAAGAC